rnacentral:tRNA from 1 species
GCCCGUGGUGCUCUCAGCAGACUUCGGAACCCUGUGCGGGCUCGUGGUGCAGGAGCGGCCCCUGGGCGUCUUCGAGUCCCGCGCGCUGCC